AAAUUAAUUAUUUUUUGUUUUGAAAACAGGAAUAAAGGGUUUUCCUUUUAAUUUU
rnacentral:tRNA from 1 species